rnacentral:piRNA from 1 species
UGUUCAACGCUAAAAAUUUUU